rnacentral:rRNA from 1 species
AUUGAACGCUGGCGGCAGGCCUAACACAUGCAAGUCGAGCGAGCGGCGGACGGGUGAGUAAUGUCUGGGAAACUGCCUGAUGGAGGGGGAUAACUACUGGAAACGGUAGCUAAUACCGCAUACCAUCAGAAGUGACCAGAUGGGAUUAGCUAGUAGGUGGGGUAACGGCUCACCUAGGCGACGAUCCCGAGCUGGUCUGAGCGGAUGACCAGCCACCCUGGAACUGAGACACGGUCCAGACUCCGACGGGAGGCAGCAGUGGGGAAUAGUGCACAAUGGGCGCAAGCCUGAUGCAGCCAUGCCGCGUGUGUGAAGAAGGCCUUCGGGUUGUAAAGCACUUUAAGCGUGGAGGCGUUACCCGCAGAAGAAGCACCGGCUAACUCCGUGCCAGCCGCCGCGGUAAUAC